AUUGAACGCUGGCGGCAGGCCUAACACAUGCAAGUCGAACGGUAACAGGAAGAAGCUUGCUUCUUUGCUGACGAGUGGCGGACGGGUGAGUAAUGUCUGGGAAACUGCCUGAUGGAGGGGGAUAACUACUGGAAACGGUAGCUAAUACCGCAUAACGUCGCAAGACCAAAGAGGGGGACCUUCGGGCCUCUUGCCAUCGGAUGUGCCCAGAUGGGAUUAGCUAGUAGGUGGGGGAACGGCUCACCUAGGCGACGAUCCCUAGCUGGUCUGAGAGGAUGACCAGCAACACUGAAACUGAGACACGGUCCAGACUCCUACGGGAGGCAGCAGUGGGGAAUAUUGCACAAUGGGCGCAAGCCUGAUGAAGCCAUGCCGCGUGUAUGAAGAAGGCCUUCGGGUUGUAAAGUACUUUCAGCGGGGAGAAAGGGAGUAAAGUUAAUACCUUUGCUCAUUGACGUUACCAGCAGAAGAAGCACCGGCUAACUCCGU
rnacentral:rRNA from 1 species